rnacentral:rRNA from 1 species
AACGCACCUUGCGCCCUUUGGUAUUCCGAAGGGCAUGCCUGUUUGAGUGUCAUUAAAUUCUCAACCUUGAACCAGUUUUGCGACUGGGUCAAGGCUUGGAUGUGAGGGCUUUGCUGGCUUCCUUCAGUGGAUGGUCUGCUCCCUUUAAAUGCAUUAGUGGGAUCCUUUGUGGACGGUCACUUGGUGUGAUAAUUAUCUACGCCUUGUUGACUGUGAAGCAAAACUUAUGGGACCCUGCUUAUAACCGUCCUUCGGGACAAUUUAUUGACCAUUUGACCUCAAAUCAGGUAGGACUACCCGCUGAACUUAA